ACUCCUACGGGAGGCAGCAGUGGGGAAUUUUGCGCAAUGGGCGAAAGCCUGACGCAGCAACGCCGCGUGAGUGAUGAAGGCUUUCGGGUCGUAAGCUCUGUCGAGGGGAAAGAAGUGUAUUGUGGUUAAUACCCGCGAUACUUGACGGUACCCCUAAAGGAAGCACCGGCUAACUCCGUGCCAGCAGCCGCGGUAAUACGGGGGGUGCAAGCGUUGUUCGGAAUUAUUGGGCGUAAAGAGCGUGUAGGCGGUUUGUUAAGUCUGAUGUGAAAGCCCUGGGCUCAACCCAGGAAGUGCAUUGGAAACUGUCAGACUUGAAUACGGGAGAGGGCAGUGGAAUUCCUAGUGUAGGAGUGAAAUCCGUAGAUAUUAGGAGGAACACCGGUGGCGAAGGCGGCUGCCUGGACCGAUAUUGACGCUGAGACGCGAAAGCGUGGGUAGCAAACAGGAUUAGAUACCCUGGUAGUCCACGCCGUAAACGAUGAGAACUAKGUGUUGCGGGUAUUGACCCCUGCAGUGCCGCAKCUAACGCAUUAAGUUCUCCGCCUGGGAAGUACGGUCGCAAGACUAARACUCAAAUGARUUGACGG
rnacentral:rRNA from 1 species